rnacentral:rRNA from 1 species
GACGAACGCUGGCGGCGUGCCUAAUACAUGCCAGUUGAGCGCUGAAGGUUGGUACUUGUACCAACUGGAUGAGCAGCGAACGGGUGAGUAACGCGUGGGGAAUCUGCCUUUGAGCGGGGGACAACAUUUGGAAACGAAUGCUAAUACCGCAUAAAAACUUUAAACACAAGUUUUAAGUUUGAAAGAUGCAAUUGCAUCACUCAAAGAUGAUCCCGCGUUGUACUAGCUAGUUGGUGAGGUAAAGGCUCACCAAGGCGAUGAUACAUAGCCGACCUGAGAGGGUGAUCGGCCACAUUGGGACUGAGACACGGCCCAAACUCCUACGGGAGGCAGCAGUAGGGAAUCUUCGGCAAUGGACGAAAGUCUGACCGAGCAACGCCGCGUGAGUGAAGAAGGUUUUCGGAUCGUAAAACUCUGUUGGUAGAGAAGAACGUUGGUGAGAGUGGAAAGCUCAUCAAGUGACGGUAACUACCCAGAAAGGGACGGCUAACUACGUG